rnacentral:tRNA from 1 species
UCCCUGGUGGCUCAGAGGAUAAAGCGCCUGCCUGUAAUGCAGGAUACCCGGGUUCCAUCCCUGGGUUGGGAA